UACGGAGGGGGCUAGCGUUGUUCGGAAUUACUGGGCGUAAAGCGCACGUAGGCGGCUUUGUAAGUUAGAGGUGAAAGCCCAGGGCUUAACCCUGGAAUUGCCUUUAAGACUGCAUCGCUAGAAUCGUGGAGAGGUGAGUGGAAUUCCGGGUGUAGCGGUGGAAUGCGUAGAGAUCCGGAAGAACACCGGUGGCGAAGGCGGCCCGCUGGGCAACUGCUGACACUGAGGCGCGACAGCGUGGGGAGCAAACAGG
rnacentral:rRNA from 1 species